rnacentral:tRNA from 1 species
GCCCGGGUGGCGGAAUUGGUAGACGCGCUGGACUCAGAAUCCAGUGUUCGUAAGGACGUGCUGGUUCGACUCCAGUUCCGGGCACCA